GUUUAAACAGCACGACUAAAUGUGGGCCUACAAACAUUUAACUUCCCACAUACUUCAGUGAAGGCUACAGGCCCUCCCCAUGGCCCUAAAGCAAGUAGAAGAUGGAUGGAUGAAAGGAAGGAAGUUGUCCAAGUCAUCAUUUUUGAGAGUUAGUGGGUUACAUCAACCAGUUCAGCUGGGGAUGGAGGGGAACAUACCAACGCAACAAUCAGUC